CGUAAGAAAAAAAUGUUACUUACUAUAAUAUACUAUAGGUUGGUUGCCCAUCUGGGUGAAUUUAUCCCCGGGCAACGCCUUGUAAAUUAUAAUACAGCUAGUAUACAUAUAUAUUUUUUUCAAUUAUAUACCACGUUCAAUAAACGGCUUGUAUCGAUGUAUAUAGUUUUUUUCUCUUAUUACAUGUACAUCUGCGCAAGCGCAACAGACCCACCCUCGAUCAAUUAAACCACUCGUAUCCCCUUUCCAUCUCAACGAACUACAAGGGGGAGCAUUGCGCAGAUGCGAAAUAGUUGGCGUUCAAUAAAGACGAGCAGCUGCCGCGCCAUCAGGAUUACUUCUUAUUCAUAUACGAGUUGCCACGUUUUGCUCGUCGCUUUAGUUUUCAUUAUACAAUAUUUACAAUCUUUUUUGCACAAGUUUUAUUUAUAUCUACUAGGAAAAUAUUAUAAAAGUUACUUAUUAGUCAAGUACAUUACUGUCCACCGCUGGUGGAUUUCCCGUCUCGCAGAUACAGUCAUAUCUAUAUUCAUUUAUAAACAUAACUUGGGCAUACAAGACAAAAUGAUAAACAAUGAUUCUUAAAAUUCAAACAAGACCCAGGUUAAUAAGGCCAUGACAGGCUAUAAUAACAAAUAUUUUGCCGAUAUAUGGAAGGAAACCAUUCAAUAAGGACAAUUACAUUAAGUUAAUUGACAGCCAUCGGUUAAAAUGCAUCUAUCCAAGCGCCACUUCGUUCUACGUUUGAAGGAUUGUAUAUGCCAUUAUGGUGUUCGGAUCAAGGCGUAAAAGAAAAAAUGAAAUCGUUUUCACCACCGAAACAAGAAAUGAUUACCUAUAACCUGUGUUAUUGACAUCAACAGUUCCUGUGGAUCUAAUCUAAUAUUUUAAUAUGGUAAUGGACUCACUCAUUGUUAAUUGAUUUUAGGUAGAUGAAUAUGAUUAAAAAAAUUGUAAGUUAUUUUAAAGCGUAGGUACCUAAAUUUUGUACUUUUGCCUAUUAGGACUCAAACUAUUAUGAAAUAACAAUCAUAUAAUUAUAAAUUAGACGUUUUUCUUCAUAACACAAUUAAAAAGGGAAAAGCUCAAACUUUUUUUAGACACAGAACACAAAACCCAUCAUAUUUAAGUCUUUUCACUUUCUCAUCUUUUAAGAAAAAGUAUAGGUUCUUAAAGAAUUGUUUUUUUUAUUUUUAUCAAUGAAGUUCAUCUAUCUAAUCGUUGUUUUUACUAUAGGUAUUAAAUAAUGAUUACCAAUAAUUUUAUUAAAUAUUUCAAAUAAUAUUAAUGAGUAAGUAGGGCUAUUCCAUUUUAUUUGUUAAACAUACACUUAAAUAGAAAAAUCGAAUACUCAGUAGUCAGUAAUUUAUAUUGGACGUUAAAAAUAAAUGUACUGUCAAAUUUGGUAAUCCCAAACUUUUGAAACUCAAAAUCCGUAAGUAUACAUUUCAGUGCUCCGUUACGUUUCAACAAAUAAGAGAGUGAUUUUGAUCGUGUUAUAAAAUGUUCGUUCGUAAUGUCGAAUGCGAAAUGCGAAAUGCAUGCGAAAGAAUUUCGUAUUCCACUUAAUACUUUGUCAACUUAUUUUAAAAAUAAAGAAAACAUUUUAAGUAAGUUGUCUACAUCCUGUAAAAAGGACAGAACAAGGGCUAGGGAACCAAAAUAUCCUGAUGUUGAUGAAUGUGUGUUUAAAUAAACAAGUGACAAAAAAAUUCCAAUCAGCGGAAAAGCUCAAAAAAGCAAAAACGGAAGAAUUUACAUUACAAUAAGAAAAACACAAUUUUAAGGCGAGCAGUGGAUGGCUCGAUGGUUUCAAACGAAGAAAUGGCAUUUGUCUUAAAUCCAUAAUUGGUGAAAGUGGUGAUGUUCAAGUGGCUGAUGAUUGGAAAAUAAAAUUGCAACAAAUGAGAAAAAAACUCCAAAUACAUUUUUACAGGCAAAACAGGUUUAUUUUAAAUAUGUCGAUGUUUAUUAAUUGAUUGCAUUCGAGCGAAAUGCAGUCGAUUGGAUCGUUAUAACCAUAAUCCAUAUGAUGUUAGGUAUUUUAUUUUUAUGAGAAUAGGUAGGACAGAAACGAGAAAUUUAUUGAGGAACAUGAAAUUGUACUAGUUCCAGAAUCUCAGGACUAGAUAUAGUUCCGUUUACAAGUUUGAUCAUGAAGUAAAUACCAUUGCAUCUGUUGUCCAGACGUUCAAAGUGGAGGCUCUUUUGAAUCUUGUGAAUAAAUCUAAUGAAUAUUUCGUGGUAUAGAUAAGGAAGGAGAAAGACCACCAGUAUUACGUUGUCGUUUGUAGCUAAUAUAUCGUAAAAAUUUCCUCUGAACACGCUCGAGUGAUUCAGUCAAAACUAAUUUGCGUCGGAUUCCAUAAAAUUUAACAAUAUUCAAGUAUUGGUCUAACAUUUAAGACAUGUUGUGCUUUUAGUGGAUAGGGGCAUACCAUUAAUUGUAUUUCUAUAAAAAUAUCGAUGGCAGGUUUUGAUCAUAUUGAAGUACCCAAUAGGACAGUUGGCCAGGAAACAGAAACGUAAAAGACGAACAGUAGAUUUGUAAUUAUUGUUAGAUUGGCAAUUGUGCUAUAAGCACGAUCACGGGCCACAUACGUCUGCAAGAUGAUUGCGUUUCGAUUAUUCUGACAACAAAGCAUCUGUCAUUGAGAAAAGAUUUUAUUAUGUGCAAAAUAUAUUUUGGUAUGUUUGCACAUUUUAGUUUAUAGAAAAGGCCAUCGUGCGAUGUCCAAAAAAACUGCACCUGUGUGUGUAGAAUGGUGUGACUUAAACACAAUUUGGAAUUUUGGUAUCGCUUCGAUUGAAUUAAGAUAUUCUAAAAGACGACUUUGUAUAGAUUUUUCGAAAAGUUUGAAAAAAGUUUAUUCUAAAUUAAAUAAAAAUUAAUGUUGAAAAAAAUCAUAAAUUAGAUAAAAAAAUCAAAUUAGAUAAAAAAAAGUC
rnacentral:lncRNA from 1 species